rnacentral:rRNA from 1 species
UACGUAGGGUGCAAGCGUUAAUCGGAAUUACUGGGCGUAAAGCGUGCGCAGGCGGUUCUAUAAGACAGAUGUGAAAUCCCCGGGCUUAACCUGGGAACUGCAUUUGUGACUGUAGAGCUGGAGUGCGGCAGAGGGGGAUGGAAUUCCGCGUGUAGCAGUGAAAUGCGUAGAUAUGCGGAGGAACACCGAUGGCGAAGGCAAUCCCCUGGGCCUGCACUGACGCUCAUGCACGAAAGCGUGGGGAGCAAACAGG